AGAUUGAUGGCUUCCAAAGCCAGACCCGAUGCUUUACAACUGUGGUGGAAAAAAACAUACAGGCUUGCCUGAACACCACCAGGGCCGAGUGACUAAUUUGUUUUAUUACAUUGUUUUUCCCUUCUGUUUUCUCUCUGCCUCAGGAAAGUUGUGUUUUUGCUCGUCGACUCAAGGCCUCGAAGACUUUCCCCACUUUUUUCUAUGGCACACAGAGUUCUGCACGUGAACUUCUUGCUGGUUAACUGGAUUGCAUCAAAAUGAUUUCUCUGUGAGGUACUAUUGCUACCAGGAUAUCAAUUACUAUCCUAAUGUGGACAUUUGCUCUGAUAUGCAUAACAAUUGAAAAUAGAAAUAAGCCUCUCAGGGCAAUCAUUUCAAUUCACAGCAAAAUCUCUGCUUCCUUCAUCUAAAUAAAUAGAGUGAGCCUUCAGAACCCACCUGUGCCAGCCUGGCCCUGGGUGAGGAGACACACCAGUUCAUUUGCAAAAAGAACCGUGCGCAGAGCCCUUAGUGCAUAAAAAUCGAUCCUGGGGCCCUGUCACGUGGUCUGUCUUGCUUUAAAGGAGGCAUAACUUUGGGCAAGCCCUGGAAUAUGAACUGAGGUUGAAACCUGCCAAGAAAGAAAGAGGACUGUGAAGUCCUGGACAAGGCAAUGGUAAGUGCUCUCAGACACCGACAGCUCCCAGACUGGCAUGCAUUGCAUAGGACAUCCUGUUGAAUGCAAUCCUAUCCACUCAGCAGUCCUAGGAAGGCAGCAGAUUAUUUUACAAUGGAGAACUUGGAAGCUCAAAGAGGUUAAACAACUUGCCCGGGGUCAUCUGUCCCUGAGCCUCUGAUCAAUACGGUCCGACAGAUGACGUCACAGAUCAUGACACUUUGGAAUCCAUGUGUGUGGAGAUCUAGCCUCACGUUUCCCACAGAGAACGUGCACUUCAACAAAGAACAAGAGAUCAUAUUUUGUCCAACAAAGACAGAAGAAAAAUUAUUUCAUUCCAAUGAUAAAAGGCUUCUGAAGAAGAAAUCCAUUCUUCGUUUUGCUUUGCUUUUUAUUCAGUUCCCUAAUAAGGGUUUUUUGGCUGAUUAAUUGAUUGAUGUGGCAAAUAAAUACUAAAGUUGAGCCCUACGUAUCCCCACUCCACCGCCUACCCCGUAUCAUCCCCCGACCAAGCCCCAGCUGCUGUAGCAUCUGUGGGCUCCUCAAGAAGCUGUGUCUGCCUUUAGACACAUUCGAGGUUCACACCCCUUUUCCAGACGCAUCAGCCUAGCUUUGGCACGGAGGGAAUAAUCCAACAGCCAGUAGCUGCCUCCUGUGGGUGCCAAGGGUUGAGUUUGUUUCCUGUCCUUGGCUGAUGUUGAUGAAGGCAUUCCACAGUGGGUGGAUGUGGCUGUGUGAGUGCGUGCAUGUUCCUGUGUGUAUGCAUAUAAGCACAUGGGUGUGUGUGUGCUGGGGGGAGGGAGUGACUGGCAUAUAGUCCGGCAGAGAUAAUGUAUUCAAAUUUUGUUAUGCUUUCAAUGUGCUGCUAUGAUGAGGCAUUUGUAUAGAGCGGGAUUAAUCCAGCUAGGAGCCCUUAUGCAACAACCCAGUGAUUAGGCGUGUCUGGGGACCUGGAUAACAGAGACCCACUUGGACAGCAUGCAGGGAAGCCUGUAUCACACAGCACUGCAACAUACCUUCAUGCUAAUGUCUCACUCCCUACAAUGGGAACACCUGCUAAAAACACCCAAGAUUAGGACAAUGCACCGUCCUACAACAAGUCUCCCUGGCUACCAGAAUGCUGACCAAAAGUAGCAUUCCUGAUCACUCUUAAGCCACAAACACUGCUUCGUGUUUCUUCCUGGCCCCCUAUGUUACUUGACCUUCUGCUACGCAUUGUUGCUUGCGUUGUCAUCUCAAUCCUUCACUCCAACCUGCAUCUGUGCCCUUUGCCCCUUGGCCUUGGGUUUAGCCAUGCAACUUCUGUGACAAAUGAAAUGAAGCAGAAGGGAUGGGGUACCAGUUAUAAGCUCAGGUCCCAAGAGACCCUCUGUGUUUUAGCUUACUCUCGCAAAAGCUCCUACUGAUGCCUUGAAAAGAGCAUUUGUGGGCUAUCCCGCCGGUCCUAGGAGGAAAUAUGAGCCCCUCAUGGGCCCACAGAUGCUUGCCCAGCCAAAUUUGCCCAGCUCAGCUGAUCAGCAGGGGGUGCUGAAACACAGUCAAGGUAGCCAGAGGUAUGAAGGAUCAAGAUGUGUUUAAGAAAACACGAGGGGGCCGGGUGCAGUGGCUCACGCCCGUAAUCCCAACACUUUCGGAGGCUGAGGCGCGUGGAUCAUUUGAGUCCAGAAGUUCGGGACCAGCCUGGGCAACGUGGUGAAAACCCAUCUCUCCAAAAAUUACAAAAAUUAGCUGGGCGUGGUGACACAUGCCUGUGUUCCCAGCUACUCAGGAGGCCAAGGUGGGAGGAUCACUUGAGUCCGGGAGGCAGAGGUUACAGUGAGCCAAGAUUGUGCCAUUGCACUCCAGCCUGGGUGACAGAGCAAGACCCUGUCUGAGGGAAAAAAUAAAUAAAUAAAAAAUAAAAAAGAAGAGACAAGG
rnacentral:lncRNA from 1 species